rnacentral:rRNA from 1 species
UAGAAGNUGAUCAUGGCUCAGAUUGAACGCUGGCGGCAGGCCUAACACAUGCAAGUCGAGCGGAAACGAGUUAUCAAAGCCUUCGGGUGGAGAUAACGGCGUCGAGCGGCGGACGGGUGAGUAAUGCCUGGGAAAUUGCCCUGAUGUGGGGGAUAACCAUUGGAAACGAUGGCUAAUACCGCAUAAUAGCUUCGGCUCAAAGAGGGGGACCUUCGGGCCUCUCGCGUCAGGAUAUGCCCAGGUGGGAUUAGCUAGUUGGUGAGGUAAUGGCUCACCAAGGCGACGAUCCCUAGCUGGUCUGAGAGGAUGAUCAGCCACACUGGAACUGAGACACGGUCCAGACUCCUACGGGAGGCAGCAGUGGGGAAUAUUGCACAAUGGGCGCAAGCCUGAUGCAGCCAUGCCGCGUGUAUGAAGAAGGCCUUCGGGUUGUAAAGUACUUUCAGCAGUGAGGAAGGUGGUGUCGUUAAUAGCGGCCUCAUUUGACGUUAGCUGCAGAAGAAGCACCGGCUAACUCCGUGCCAGCAGCCGCGGUAAUACGGAGGGUGCGAGCGUUAAUCGGAAUUACUGGGCGUAAAGCGCAUGCAGGUGGUUUGUUAAGUCAGAUGUGAAAGCCCGGGGCUCAACCUCGGAAUUGCAUUUGAAACUGGCAGACUAGAGUACUGUAGAGGGGGGUAGAAUUUCAGGUGUAGCGGUGAAAUGCGUAGAGAUCUGAAGGAAUACCGGUGGCGAAGGCGGCCCCCUGGACAGAUACUGACACUCAGAUGCGAAAGCGUGGGGAGCAAACAGGAUUAGAUACCCUGGUAGUCCACGCCGUAAACGAUGUCUACUUGGAGGUUGUGGCCUUGAGCCGUGGCUUUCGGAGCUAACGCGUUAAGUAGACCGCCUGGGGAGUACGGUCGCAAGAUUAAAACUCAAAUGAAUUGACGGGGGCCCGCACAAGCGGUGGAGCAUGUGGUUUAAUUCGAUGCAACGCGAAGAACCUUACCUACUCUUGACAUCCUCAGAAGAGACUGGAGAC